rnacentral:lncRNA from 1 species
UUUAAAAUAGAGACCAACGUGGCCGGGCAGGAAGAGCAGGGUCCCGCCUUCAGGUGUUUGGGACUCAGCUGAGGGUGUGGGUGCCCCGCGGUGGGGGCUGAACCUUCCUGGGGUGUGGAGAGACGAAAGGAGCCCAGAUCCAAGUUCCCUCGUUCCCGCUUUGGCAUAAGUUGCCCUGGCGGUCUCAUGAGAGAGAGAAAGAGCUGGGACCCUCCUCGCCCCAGUGAGUGUGAUGUCUUGCUCCGGGUGUCCUGGGGCAACUUUCUAUACAGGCGGGACGUGGGAGGAUCAGACAGUGUAACAUCAGACAAGGGUGUUGACUCUGCAGCACAGAACCAGUAGUUUGUGGAGAAGAAUGGAGGUGUGGUGUUGAAUCUGCUAGACAGGCUACUGAAGCAAAAGUCAAGAGAUCCAGAUUCCAUCAUGGGGACACUUUAGCUGUUGUAAAAAGGAUUGAGUUCUUGAUUGAUUCCCAGCUUGGUCAUUGGUGUAUAGCAGUGCUACUGAUUUGUUUACAUUCAUUUUGUAACCUGAGACUUUACUGAAUUCGUGUAUCAGAUCUAGGAGCCUUUUGGUUCUUCAUCGGGUAAUUGAGCUGAUAUCAGGUGUCUGAAGGAGGCAAGUUUUGAAGAUGUGGGUCAUGAUGGCUGCUGAAGCUUCCACUCCAUAUUUGAAGGUCAGCAGUUCUCAGGAAACCUCUAGCACUUCCAUCCCUGGUGGGAUGUGAUGCCUGUCUCAGUGUAACAUCAGAGAAGGGGUGUACUCUGUGCCCUAGAACUAGGAGCUAACAGAGAAAAACCAAAUGUGAUGUGGAGUCUGCUAGACAGGCUACUGGAGCAAGAGUGAAGCGAUGAAAGUCUCAUCAUUGGGACAUAUUAGGGAGGCAGCAGGUGGCUGAAAUCCUGGUGUGAUGUGGCUGGAUCAUGCAUGAUCUGAGGACUCCUGCACAGAUGCAGUGGAUCCCCAGGUUGCAAGUCAUAUAACCUGAGCAUGCCCAGAUGAACCAAGUAUGCCUGAUUGGUGAACCUGGAACUGGCCAGAACAGAAAAUGUCAACCACAUGUGGAAUCUAAGUAUUCAGAUUGAGAAAUGAGGACCAAAAUGAGAACACUGAGCUCCUCACACAGGUGACUGAACCCGUGGUUUUGGUGUCUGAGAAGAUGCAGCUUCUCCAGUCUCUGCAACUGACGGCAGGAAGAUGGGAGCACUCAGCUUCAGUGUUCAGAAGCAGAUUUAGGCCAAUUGCCAUACCUUACGUUCUGGAGGGAUCCACCCUGACCUGAGCAGAAGGCAUCACACACAUUCCCAAGCAGCAUGGUUCCCGUGAGAAACUGAAAACUAAUUUCUUGAAUCUACAAUGCGA